rnacentral:lncRNA from 1 species
CACUUUGAAAAAAAUAAAAUCUUUGUAAUAAGUUUAUUCAAAUAAAUUUUGUAUUACUAAAAUAUUCUUUCUAAGAGAGUUUUUAUUUACACUUGUUUUCAUAAAAAUACUUUGUUGAUUUUGUAUAAUUAGAAGUAAUUUAAAAUGCUUGUUUGUUUAACUUAGGAAAUUACAGGACAUAAAGAGUUCGUAAAAGAAAAUUGAAC